GGAAAACUUACCAGGUCCAGACAUAGUAAGGAUUGACAGAUUGAGAGCUCUUUCUUGAUUCUAUGGGAGGUGGUGCAUGGCCGUUCUUAGUUGGUGGAGUGAUUUGUCUGGUUAAUUCCGUUAACGAACGAGACCCCCGCCUGCUAAAUAGGUCCGUGAAUGAAUUUCAUUGACGAGAUCUUCUUAGAGGGACUUUUGGUGACUAACCAAAGGAAGUUGGGGGCAAUAA
rnacentral:rRNA from 1 species